rnacentral:rRNA from 1 species
ACGGGAGGCAGCAGUGGGGAAUAUUGCACAAUGGGCGCAAGCCUGAUGCAGCGACGCCGCGUGAGCGAUGAAGUAUUUCGGUAUGUAAAGCUCUAUCAGCAGGGAAGAUAAUGACGGUACCUGACUAAGAAGCACCGGCUAAAUACGUGCCAGCAGCCGCGGUAAUACGUAUGGUGCAAGCGUUAUCCGGAUUUACUGGGUGUAAAGGGAGCGUAGGCGGUCUUACAAGUCUGAUGUGAAAGCCCGGGGCUCAACUCCGGUACUGCAUUGGAAACUGUAGGACUAGAGUGUCGGAGGGGUAAGUGGAAUUCCUAGUGUAGCGGUGAAAUGCGUAGAUAUUAGGAGGAACACCAGUGGCGAAGGCGGCUUACUGGACGAUUACUGACGCUGAGGCUCGAAAGCGUGGGGAGCAAACAGGAUUAGAUACCCUGGUA